GUGCCCUCCUGUGCGAGCUUGGAGCCCGAGGGGUUGGGGGGAGACGCCGUGCAAACAACUAGGCGCAAGCGGUAUGCACAAGAUAGAAGAGUUGAUGUGUCUGUUUGAGCCCCAUAUAAUGAUUGCUCACACAAUAAAACUGAAUUGACAAGGAGAGCUGAGGAGAGAGAGAGAGGGCUACGUGACACAAUUCUCAACCAGGCAGUAGUGAAUGGGAACUCUGUUUUUCUCACAGCUCCUGGGUUUGGAGUGUGUCUGUAAUUUGGUUAAAGAUUUCCUAAGUCUGAAAAAAGCUGCAAGCUUUGGGCAUGGGGAACUAGCAGCUGGUGUGGUCAGACCGACUGGAGGACUGAGACUGUCACACCAUGGUGGCUACAAGAUGCCAGGGCCCAAG